CUUACCCUUUAUCUGAGAUACCGGCGGAUUUCGCCAGCCUCCUCGAAUUCUUACCUUUUGUCCUGCGUUACACGCCGGGGAAAGGAAUUCUGGGAUCGUGUGUUAUGCUGAUCCAAAAUGUUUUUAAGAAAUAAAGAAGUUGUAAAACAAUGGAUACAAGUAUAUAUUUAUAAUACAAGAAAUGACGAUUCUGAAAAAGAAGCUGAUGACCAGAACAAGGGAUAGGAAGAUGACCUGUUUGCUUGAAGAGCGAGACCAGAGAGCAAGGAGCGGAGUGACUUGAUCCUUGAGGGUGCCUUUGGCUCCAGGGGGAAGCUGACUCUUCCGGAGAAUCUUGGAGCCGACAACUAAGGAACUCAGCACCCAGCUAACUUCCAGGAGGAAGCUUCCUUUCCUCCUCCUGCUUUCCCCCUUUCCCCUCCUUUCUCUCUCUGCAGCCAUCAGAAAUAAACUCUGGCUCAUUUCAUCUGAAAUAGGCUUUAUUCCAGGGAUAGUAAUAGCGCAGAGAAUCUCUGAAAAAGAUCUCUAGAAAAAUCUCUAGAAAAGAUAAGGAAACAGAUUAUCCCCUAGAGCCUCCAGAAGGUAAGGCAGCCCUAUUGACCCCUUGAUUUUAGUCCAGUGAGACCUUUGUUGGACUCCUAACCUACAGAACUGUAAUAUAAUAAAUGUGUGUUCUUUUAAGCCACUAAACUCAUGGUCACUUAUUACAGCAGACAUAGAACACCAAUUCAAUAAGUGUCUAGCACAUUCACCUUAGCAGUAAUAAGAUGGGGGACAUAAUGAACCCUAUAUAAAUCUGCAGGUCGUCUGUCUGUCCUAGGUUGACAGGUCAAGAGAUACUGGUACAUGUUUAAAGCAUUACAUUAGGUAUGUUUUUUCCUUUCCGUUUUUUCCCUAAAGGACUCUCGCCCUAUUUCCUGCACAGGGGUACCCAACAUGGUUCUCACUGGAAUUACAGCAAAUUGGAAGACAGUGGUGGUGACACAGGGUGAAGAGCUACUUUUCAAAGGGUGAGACACAAGAAUGGCUUUUAGGAAUUUUCCCCCAAAGUAAUCUGUGACUGGAUCCUGUUGCCGAAACUUGGCCUCUGUUCACCGGUGCCGAAGAGAAAUGCGGAAACAGAGUUUUGGGUGAAGCAGAAAAGAGUAGCUUUUAUUGCUUUGCCAGGCAGAGGGGGCCACAGCGGGCUAAUGCCCUCAAGACUGUGUGACCCACCCUGGAGGGCAUAGUGAGGAGCCUUACAGCGUUGGAGGAGCAGGGCGUGAUCAGCUCGCAGACAGUUCUCGGAUUGGCUGGCAUCAAAGUGAAGUUUCAAGCGUCAUCAACCUUCUGGUUUCAACCAGUCCAGGGUCUAUGUGCUUGUGGGCGGCGCUUUCCAUCUGGAGGGGGUCUGCGCCCUGUAAAACCACUUAGGAGUGUGUGUCGGGCCUUCAUCGGUAGCUUCAGUGAACUGGGAGUUCGAUGAUUCUGCCGUGUGGCGGAUUUAUAGUCUACAUUGCUGCCCGUUCCCCAGCCCAACAGCUGUUCUUUGUUUCUACACCUUCACAUUCCCGAAUCACUAACUCUUGAGUCAGCACUUUACUUCAAAAGACAAGGGCACGGGGCCUCGUACACGGUUUCAAUCCUGACCAGCUCUGAGAUUUACACGAUGCAUAUGCUGUUGUUUUCAUAAAUGUUAACGUCCGUAAAAUGAAGUUCUUAGAAGCAUUA